rnacentral:rRNA from 1 species
AGAAGGGCGCACGGGGGAUGCCUAGGCUCCAGCGAUGACGAAGGACGCGGUAAGCUGCGAAAAGCUGCGGGGAGGUGCAAACGACCUUAGAUCCGCAGGUGUCCGGAAUCGGGGGCAACCCCCCCCGGCUGAAGGCCGGGGACCCGCAAGGGGGAACACCCGGGGAACUGAAACAUCUAAGUACCCGGAGGAAGAGAAAACAACAGUGAUUCCGUGAGUAGUGGCGAGCGAAAGCGGAGAAGCCCAAACCAGGGGGCAUGGCCCCCUGGGGGUUGUAGGGCCUGCGGAAUUGCGUGCAAUGCAAGUGGAACGUGCCUGGAAAGCGCGGCCGGAGCGGGUGAAAGCCCCUUACACGCAAGAUUGCACGCAUGGCGGGAACCCUGAGUAGGGCGGGGCCGGAGAAACCCCUGCCUGAAGCUGCCGGCACCAUCCGGCAAGGCUAAAUACGAGCUGGGAGACCGAUAGCGAACCAGUACUGUGAAGGAAAGGUGAAAGAACCGCAAGAAGCGGAGUGAAAAGAGCCUGAAACCGUGCGCC